rnacentral:lncRNA from 1 species
UCUGCAACAACCAACGCCGGCUCCACGCCCAAACAGAACCAUCUGCUGCCUUUUCUGUUUUGCUGCAGGUCUGGUGACUUCCGAACCUCGCCGGAGCUCCGACGGACAGCCUUUGUUCCGAACGGCGAGCCACCAUCGCAGUUCAGCCAUUACUGCUUCCUCGCCAUUUCUUCAAGUCCCACCGUGAGUUAGACUAGGUAAAUUUUUAGGUAUUUGGUUUCAUAGUUUUUUUUAUUAUUAUUUACUUAUUAUUUUUAUUCUAACUUGAUUUGUUUUGAUUUAUUAUCCAAUUGGAAAAUUUGUCAUAUUAAGUUAUGAUAAUCAAAAAUAUUAAGCCGCGAGACAAACACUUGGUAUCACAUCAAGCGUUUAAGGGUUCAAAUAUCUGGGGUUUUUACUAAACAUCUAGAAGUCACAUCAGACGUUUGGAAAGACAAACACUUGGUAUCACAUCAAGCGUUUAAGAGUUCAAAUAUCUGGGGUUUUUACUAAACAUCUAGAAGUCACAUCAGACGUUUGAAAAGACAAUCACAUCAGACGUUUGAAAAGACAAACACUUGGUAUCACAUCAAGCGUUUAAGGGUUCAAAUAUCUGGGGUUUUUACUAAACAUCUGGAAGUCACAUCAGACGUUUGGAAAGACAAACACUUGGUAUCACAUCAAGCGUUUAAGGGUUCAAAUAUCUAGGGUUUUUACUAAACAUCUAGAAGUCACAUCAGACGUUUGAAAAGGCAAACACUUGGUAUCACAUCAAGCGUUUAAGGGUUCAAAUAUCUGGGGUUUUUACUAAACAUCUGGAAGUCACAUCAGACGUUUGGAAAGACAAACACUUGGUAUCACAUCAAGCAUUUAAGGGUUCAAAUAUCUGGGGUUCACACUAGACAUUUGAAAAUACUAAACAUCUGGAAGUCACAUCAGACGUUUGGAAAAACAAACACUUGGUAUCACAUCAAGCGUUUAAGGGUUCAAAUAUCUGGAGUUCACACUAGACAUUUGAAAAUAUUUUACAAAUUGGUACUUGGAAUUCUCAUCAAGCACCAAGAUGACUGAACAAACUCAGGGUUUCAAAGACAAUUUUUUUGGUCUUUGAGGAAAAAUUCAAUGAUGGCUUUAUCAAGCUUCUACUGGAAAAAUUAUCACAAGGACAAUUUUCAGUUAUAGUGUGAAUCUCUUGAACAUGCUAAAUGAGACGCUUUUGGUGUGAAAAGGCUUUUUCACUCGCUCUCAUUUAGGAGGGGUUAUUUGUCCCGACCAUUAAUGCGGGAAUAUAUCACUCAAUCUUAUCAUCAUCUUGUCGACAAGAGUUCAAAUUUUCUUGCAAGCGGUACGACCUUACCAAUCUGAGAGGUUUUUGACAAUGAUUGUAAUGUGGGUUUGGUAAAUGGCUUAGCAAAAGAUACUCUUUGAGUCAAGGCUAUUGAAAGAAUAAUUCUGUAAUCAUCUCCGGGUUUACAAGUCAAGAACCCUGCAAAAUGAGAAAGAAAUAAUCUUGCUCGCACUUUUUCGAGCAAUGCUUAAAACAUAUGAAUUCUUAUGUUAAUUUAAGUGCCAUAAUCUGAAGAGACUUUGUAAGGGACGUAACAUAGGCUUGGUUCUUGGGUUUGAGAAACGAAAGGAUCGUUAGGCUCAAAGAUGUGUGUAAUGGGUAAGAGUUGGUGAUCAUCUUGACAUCACCACUAGUUUUCUUCGCCACUGAUUGUCUUCUUGACAGAUUUCUUUAUUGGCUCAAGAGUUUAUCACUGAUGCCAAUGAUUAUUCAACUGGAGAUCUUUUCUCAAAAUCAUUUUCUUUGAUGAUGGGCAUCGAUCAGGCACACUGCUCUUUUUUCAUGCCCCCCAAUUCAUCAGUCAUUUCUCUCUUCUUUUCACGGGCAUUGGCCUUGCUUUUACCAGGCACACUGCUUUUUUUUGCCCCUUAUUUUUUUGCAUUUAUUUUCUCUGGACUCACAUAGUUUUCUUUCAUCAGCAUUUUAGACCAUGCUAUUCGAAUGAUUGUCUUUCAUCUUGCCCCAGUGUGGGGGAUGAUCACCAACUGGGUUUGACAUGAAAUGAAUUCAUAGGCUCAAGUGGGCUAUGCAAAUGAUAUAAGUGUGUAGGAUAAAGAAAGAACUGCUCUUCGUCAUCCUAAGGCACUUAAAUUAUCACAUGAAUUCAAUGUAAUAGCACAACUUGAAGAUUGAUGCAAGUGAAAGCAAGAAAAUUUCAACUCAUUUUCCUUCUCCUUCAAUGUCAACUUACCUCCAUUUGCCCCGAUGUGGGGUGGUUCUUGACAGGGGUAGUAUGAAAGAAAUUCUUCAAGUAUUUGGGCUCAAAGAGGGGUUAAACAAGGGUUCAUUGAUAGAGAAAUGAACUGCCCCUCGUCAUUUUAGUUGUCGUACUUUUCGCAAGAAAACUCUUCACCUUGAAGUACAAGACGUUUUCAUACUCACCUCACAAUGUAUAAACAAGGGACUGUGUAUGGGAUAAAGCUUGCCUUUCACACCUCAUUUAGCAUGUUCAAGUAAUUCGACAUCUUUCACUGAAUUAUCCAUUUUGAUAAAUUUCAAGUGGAAUUGACAAAUUGCACAAUAUCAUGUGGAAGCAUUCUAUAAUGACAAAAAGGCCAUGCUCUAUCAAAUCAUAAAGUCAAAGCUGUUAAGUGUCUAUGUCUUGCCCCUCUUUGCAAAGGAGCUCAUAAAGAUUCCUUAAAUGUGCGCAGAGCUGCACCUGAAACAUAAAGCAAAUAAUUAAAUGAAACAAAUAUGGUAAAUUAGAUGUAUGCUAGAAGAUGAUUUUAUUUUGAAAUUUUUUUUUUUCAAGGGAACAUGAAGAAGCCCAGCCUUCAGAAUUAGCUCAUUGCCGUUUUCUUUUUGGUAGGAUUUCAUCACAGGGCUAGUUUGGUAUACUUCAACAUGCCUUUAAAACAUGAAAAAUCUCCAUGCAUUUUAUUGGAUGAAAAGCAAAUUACAUUAUUGAAAUAAGGGAAAUCCUAGAAUUGAAAAUGCAAAUAUGCAAAUAUGGAAAGCAAUAAAGACUCCUGCGCAGAGGAGUGUGCAAAUAAUUAAAAUUUUCCUACUCUCGAGCUUUGUCGAUGGCAAACAAUUCAGUCAUUCCUUCGAAUGCGUCAUCAGAGCUCUCAAUCUUGGAGGUGCGGGAUCAUCUAUGCCACCCCAUCCAUCUAGGAUGAUAUCCCGUGGGUCGAAAUAGGAGCUGGGAGGAGCCGAAUACUUUACAUAGUAAUCGAAUUUGCCACUUGGUUGCCCCAGGGUGUCCAUCACUUAUGCUUCCUCAUGCAUCAUCUCUCCCAUAUGAUAAGCACAUGUCUUGGAUGGAUCAUAGUUGGGGAAUCGCUCGGGAUUAGGUCGCUUAGGCUCUUUAGCGAGUAAUCCUUUCUUCUGAAGGGUUGGCAAGAUCUUGGACAAUGGCUUAGGAAGAGGCGUAAAUUGACGCUUGGAAGAGUUCUUCUGCUGGCCAAAGAAUGGUCGUGCUCCUCCCUGAUGGGUGUUCGGGGUAGGGCGAGGUGGUUGCAUAUAAGCUGCAUUAACCUCCGCUACAAGUUCCUUAUCCUUCUUGAUUGAGACUCUUCCAUAUGAGCUGGUUUGAUCAGACGCCCAUCCAUCACGCAAUGCUACUUCAAUUCGCUCACCAACAGGGAUUAGCUGAUUGAAUGACUCGGCAGUCGAUCCCAGCAUUCGAUUUCGAUACUCAGGCGGGAGUGUCUUCAUGAACAAAUCCAUCAGCUCCUUUUCUGUUUUGUUGCAGGUCUAGUGACUUCCAAACCUCGCCGGAGCUCCGACGGACAGCCCUUGUUCCGAACGGCGAGCCACCAUCGCAGUUCAGCCAUUACUGCUUCCUCGCCAUUUCUUCAAGUCCCACCGUGAGUUAGACUAGGUAAAUUUUUAGGUAUUUG